AGCGUUAUCCGGAUUUAUUGGGCGUAAAGCGAGCGCAGGCGGUCUUUUAAGUCUAAUGUGAAAGCUUCGGCUCAACCGAAGAAGUGCAUGGAAACUGGGAGACUUGAGUGCAGAAGAGGACAGUGGAACUCCAUGUGUAGCGGUGAAAUGCGAGAUAUAUGGAAGAACACCAGUGGCGAAGGCGGCUGUCUGGUCUGUAACUGACGCUGAGGCUCGAAAGCAUGGGUAGCGAACAGGAUUAGAUACCCUGGUAGUCCAUGCCGUAACGAUGAUUACUAAGUGUUGGAGGGUUUCCGCCCUUCAGUGCUGCGCUAACGCAUUAGUAAUCCGCCUGGGGGAGUACGACCGCAGGUUGAAACUCAAAAGAAUUGACGGGGGGCCCGCACAAGCGGUGGAGCAUGUGGUUUAAUUCGAAGCUACGCG
rnacentral:rRNA from 1 species